rnacentral:rRNA from 1 species
UACAGAGGUCUCAAGCGUUGUUCGGAUUCACUGGGCGUAAAGGGUGCGUAGGCGGCGCGGUAAGUCGGGUGUGAAAUCUCGGAGCUUAACUCCGAAACUGCAUUCGAUACUGUCGUGCUUGAGGACUGGAGAGGAGACUGGAAUUUACGGUGUAGCGGUGAAAUGCGUAGAUAUCGUAAGGAACACCAGUGGCGAAGGCGGGUCUCUGGACAGUUCCUGACGCUGAGGCACGAAAGUCAGGGGAGCAAACGGG